rnacentral:lncRNA from 1 species
UCGGACUAAUCCGUCACAAACAGAAUUAAUAACCAACACUUAAUUAUGCUAAUUAAUAUUGGCUUUAAGCAUAUAAUUAACUAAUCGACAAAAUAGGAAUGCAUAACUCUAAUUAUUAAGGAAAUAUACUAUUCCGAUUAAUCCUUAAUCAAACAAAUAAAGAUACUAAAAAUGCUCUUGACUGAUGACAAUAGAACAAACAACAAUACAAAGAAAGAAUAAAGAAAUAAAAUAAAACAAAGUGAAGGCAUGAUAGAAUGAUGCUGCUGAACAUGAACUAAUUUGAACAAUUAAAACUAACAUAAAAAUUAAUCAAAACUAAUGACAUAUUGACAGAGGGAAGAGAUAGUUCUCCAACAUAUUGUUAGGAGAAAAGGGAUUUCCGGCAAGCCGUAAAAUUGCCACACACACUGGCCGAAUUUCUCCUUGCGAGCCGGUUUUGGUAUGCACCAAAUAUCUCCUACCCGCCCGACAAAAAGAGAAGCGAGGCAAGGCAAGGAUGAACUAUGCGAUCCAAAGGAGCUUGACCAAGGUUUUGUGGCCAUAAAAUCAGCAAAAUCGCGGCUGGUCAAAUGAGCCAAAAUUAAUCACAAAUCAAACAAAAGGAAAACUUUAGGGUUUCUGUGAUUUACAAAUUUGGAAUUCAUGGAGAUUGGGAAAUUUUUUGGGAAAAUUAAUGAGGGAAUUGGACUGAGGGGAGGAUGGAGGUUGUAGCGUAUGAGUUUGGGGCUAUUUGGUGACGUGACGCCCCCGUGUGCGAUUUCUGGGAAUGACGGUUGGCGGGAGUUCAGACAGGGUGAGAGAAGCGAGUUAUGUAAGAGUUUUUGGGUUAAGGGGAGGG